GGAUGGAUGCUUAAUUGGGUUAUGAUGGUACUAAGUAGACAUUCUUCUAUAGGAAAUGGUGAAUGUGUUUAUGCGCAAUAGGAAUCUUCUUCCAGUGAGCAAGAUGUUGAUGCUUCGGUGCAAUCUGAAGGACUUAGUUAGAAGCUAGUUAGACUUACAUUUUAGUUCUAUAUCGGAAUGAAAGCUAGUUACAUUACCACCUGGAAAAUGUUACCAUUUGGAGAUUUUACUAAGCCCCUUCCAGGCAAUAAUAUACAUGUUCAGUGUUAUAGGUCUUGGAACAUGGAAGUUUUUUUUGUAUGUGCCACUUCAUAUUUUCAUUAUAAUCAAAUAUUUUAUUUUCUUUUUGAGAUGUUAUGUAUCUUAUGGGUGAAGGAAGAGGAAACCUUGAUUUAUAAUACCACCCCUCUUAGCAUAUUAUGAUCCAACCAUUAGUAAUUAACAGAAAAUGGGAGCUAUGCGGAGUAACUAACUAAAAGGUAGCACAAGUUCAGAUUUCCACUCAAGCGACAAGCAUCAAUUGCUUUAAUUGCAUAAGAGUAUGAAAAAUAUGAACAACUCAAUAUGAGAUUCAUUUGAAAUCACGGUAAAUCAAUGUUUUAUUAAUAGAUGCCAAUGAUUUAUUGUCAUUAAAUUAAAACCAUAGUAUACCUGCGAGGACAUGGCGGCCACCUAAUUCUCCAUUUCAGUUCCAGUAGCAAGAAACAACAAAUUUAUGAAAUGAAUCUACUUUUGUUACCUUCGUUAGUUUUUAUCCUUGAAUAAAAAGUGAUUUUUUUUGUAAUGAUAUUGCUCAUCUAAUUAAUAAAUUAGACCCUCGGCAGGUUGCAUUAUGCAAUUGUUCUAAUCUUCUCACCGUUGACAGAGCAUGGUGCCCCAAUGUUUGGUUUUUGUAAUUGAUGACAAUGUCAGGACCGGAUUUUCGGGAUAUUAGUUUCCAGAAAAUGGCCCUUGUGCUCACCAGCCCCAGGAUUACUUUUAGCUGAUGAGGCACCAACUUGAUACAGAAAUUCCAAGCAAAAUACAUAAUAUGUAGUACAAGACCAUUCUGGCCUAUGAGUACAACAAAUGGUUUCCAGUGGUUGAUGGCGGAAGCGGUUUGUGGAUCAUCAGCGUCUAUGGGACUCCAAUUCCCACAUGAACAGCUGCCAGGUUAACUCCUAUCUUCGCGAGGCUGCUAUCACCGUUGCUUAGGUUCCGGGGCUGUCAUCGCAACGCUCCUCUCCAAGCAAGAAAUCUGGCCAAGACAAUAGCCAGGGACAAGCCAGUGAGUACUUUUGAAUGUACUCGCAAACAUUAUGAACACGGGUAUGAUAUAACAACCAAUAAUCAUACUCUAAAAUAUUCUAUGCUCACAACGUCCGUCAUAAAAAUAAUAUCCCUGAUACAUGCAAGCAGGUUAUUUAUGUAAAACAUGAAUAUGCAAUCAGAGAGUAAAAAUAAAAUGCACCGAGCGGGUGUCUGAAGCGACGCCUCGAAAGGAUAAUAAUAUAAGGCAUGCCUCAGUCGGGCGUCUGCGCGACACCACAUACAUGGCUUAUAAAGUAAAUAAAUAAUGAGCAUGCCACAGUCGGGCGUCUGAGAGACACCACAUAAAGGGCUUAUAAGGUAAACAAUAAGAAUGCCACAGUCGGGCGUCUGAGCGACACCACAUAAAGGGCUUAUAAGGUAAACAAUAAGAAUGCCACAGUCAGGCGUCUGAGCGACACCACAUAAAGGGCUUAUAAGGUAAACAAUAAGAAUGCCACAGUCGGGCGUCUGAGCGACACCACAUAAAGGGCUUAUAAGAAAACAAUCACAGUGAAUAUCCAGGAGGUAGAACCGUCCCAGAAUAAUCCCAGUAAUAUGGUGGGUAAGUCCAUAAUAGUAAUAAUCCCAAUCAUCAUAGUCAACACAAGUCACAGGUCAUGAUCCAUGUUCUGGUUUAGCAGUUUCUCCUCCGAAGACCGACACUUGACCAAACCCAGACUGUAGUCCUUAACCAUGGACAUGGCUAUUCGAAUAGAUUUAACCUCUGCAAACGGUGUACUCUUUACCCACGAGUAACGGAUUCCUUUAGUCCAUCGGGACUAAUUCCGUCUACGGCCUUUUAAUAGAAAACACACCUGACUUGCACACACCAGCUUAACUUACCAGUGUCUGGAAUCACCCACGACACCUGUCAAGCAAAAACUCUAAGUGGGGAGGCUACAACCUCGCGUAGCAUGGGAUCAAAUUCAUAUCGCACACUCUAAGUGGUGCCCCCCUCUCGGUCCCAUCCGAAAACACCCAUGCCCCCGGACCAGGUGGCCUGCCUACCAGCUGCAGUCGGUAUCUUCCACCAUGGCCUCUCUGUACGGUGUGUGCUAGAAAGGGGUUGACAGACAACUUACUGUACCGUACCCUACCUGCUGUAGGGACAAGUGGUAGUACGAAACAAGUAUGGGGGUUACUGGAACAAGACUCGAUCUAUGGCCGACUCAGGAAGUUUAAGUAUUCCCAGCAUGAUUAGCUUAAUGAAUAUAUUUCAUCCAACAGACAGGAUCACCACUCAUCAUACCCCAUCAUGCCAUACCGGACACACUCGUCUCGACGAGGAACUAGGGACAAGCUCGGGUCUACCCAAGAUAGAGACUUUCCAGUUUUCCUUCUGGUAGGCGCGAAGGGCAUACGAGGAUGAUCACUAUCACAAGCAUGUCCAUUUCCAACAGCAAGGAAAUCCCCAAUAUGCAUUCAUGCAAAUGAUCGCGUCACCACAUAAAAUAACGAGUUCUCCGUAUUAAGGUGGUGUUAUAAUCAUGUCAACUAACACACAAAAAUAUUAUGCCAGGGUUCAGAAUGCUUGCCUUCAAGGGUAUGCAAGUGGGGUGUGCCUUUUGAAAGUUGACUUCUUCUCCAAAAACCUAUUUUUGAAAAUAUUCAAAUUAACACAUACUUUAAAAACUGUACAAAAACGUUGCUUGGAAAAUUUUCAAAUAAAUAUGAAAAUAAACUAGACAAUAUUUGGGAAACAACAGAAAAAGAAUCAAGUCAUUUGGAUUUAUAUCUAAAAAGUUAUAGCCUAUCAAAGUUUAGUCAACUUUCUGUUUUUAAAAUAAAUCUGAAAAAAAGAAAAACGUUUCGAAAAGGGUACACGUCGAAGACGUACUUUGGGAAUAUGCCUCCACUUAAAACACGUGGUGGCGGGGUUGGGUCACUGACAGUGGGUCCAGCGGCCCCACUGGUCAGGUUUGACUAGUCCCCCGCCUUCUUCCUCCUCUGUCCGAGCCGAGGCGGGGGCUCCGGCGAUCGACGCUGGCGAACGGCAGCUCCUCGCGGGGCUCUGAGGGCGAGGAUGGAUCCGCCACUCCCAGGUGGUCCUCCCGGUGGUUGAGAGGGUGGCGGGGACGAAGGGAGUCGCCGGCGGUGAGCCUUGCGGUGGACGGCAGCUUCGGGAGGUUUGGGGGUUUGGGUUAUGGUGCUUCCCGAUCGACGCUGAGAGGGUGGGUGGCUCCGCACGGUUGGGGGGAGAAGGAUGGAAGCACGGGAGGGGUUUGGGGGCCUCGGUCUUGACCGGAUUUCACCGGAGUGUGGCGGCGGCCGAACCUGUCGGGGACGAGGAAGAUGGCCGUCAUUCGCCGAUUGCUGGCUACGGGGGGGCUCUAGGGGGGGUGGCUCGAGGCUGCCUGAGUGCUGGGACGAGCUCGGGGUCCCCUUUUAUAGUGCAACGAGGUCGGUUCCGCGGCGGCAGUGGAUAGGGACGCCGGCGAACCGCUUUUCUGUAGCUAGGGGUGAGGUGGAGAUGCUUGGAGCUGGUCGGCGCACUCCGACGAACUCCACACUGCUCAAGAGGCGAGCUGGCUCUCGUGUGUGGCUCGGGCGGCGCCGUCCAGGGCAGAGGUUGUCGGGGCGGCGGUGGCGACAUGCAGUGGUGAUGCUGUGGUGCGCCAGGAGGGGGGGCCAGGGUGGCUCUACAGCGAGGGAGGGGUCGGGACGCUGGCUGCGAGUGGAAGGGGCCAGAACGGGAGCGGGGGAGGCGGCAGCGGGAGGUGGCGGCUUGGGCGCACACACGUGCAAAACGCGCGCUCUGGGCGCGCCCAGAGCACGCACGUGACGUGCUCGACAAAAUGACAGGGUGACCUAGAGUGCUUGAGCGAGGCUGGCAAAUAACCGGACUAGGUUAGAGUCUGCAAGAAAGUUAGUGGACAAACUGGUUUGUCCAGAGGUGCAAGGUCACAGUGCAAAGGCAAAAAUCAUGUCAAAACUGCCCAUGCACUUAAGGUAUUUGACAAAAUGCCAAUGGCAUCUAGGCAACUCUUGGGGUGGCCAAAUAUUCCAGAUCAAAGUCUAUUUAGAUGUAGGAGAGGAUGGCAAGUUUAGUUGGCCAAAUGUAGAAACUUGUUAGUGUAAGUUUUGCAAAACUCCAGUUCUGGACAGAAGGAAAAGGGUAUAAUAUCAUGUACCAAAAAUGCUCCAAUGAGUCCAACCUCCUGGACUUAAGGGUUUGCUAGGGUGGUCUACAAUCAGGAGAAAGAAUCAAGGGAAAAAGAGCAAGCAAAAACAUGGUUGCAAUACAAAUCACCAAGUUGAACCAGAAUGCAAAUGAGGAUGAUUCACUCAAUUUUUUCAAAGAGCAUCAAUGGGUUCUUGCAUAAAGAUGAAUAAUAUACUCCUAUUAACACCCCAUAAUUUUCGUGGAAGUUUUAAAGAAAUAUUUAAUUAGGUUGUAAUGCAAAAUUGCCCAAUGGACCAGAUUUGAAAAUUUGAUGUAGAGCUCAAAAUAUCGAAAAAAUGAUAUAUAAUUUUGCAUAAAAGUGAUUUAAAAACAUCACAUGACAUCCCCAAAUUUUGGUGGGAUUUUUAAAUGAAUUUAUAAAAGGGUUGCAGUUCAAAUGGGACCCUAAAAUUUAUGAAAAACCCUUUUGGAGGAAUAAAGCUCAGGAAAAAUAAUUAUAUAAAUAAUCCUACUGAUAAAAGAAUUGUUUUAUUUGAGAGGGUAACUAAGUCCAAUAAUGUUUGAAACUUUUUCACUUGGGGUAAAAACCUCAUAAAAAUAAAGAAAAGAAUGGUUCUGAAAUCAACAGGAAAUCUAGAAAAUAAAAGUUUAAGUUUCCUGGCAAAAUUUUAAUAAAUAAAACAUGGUUAAAUUUUUGGGGUGUCACAACACUACCCCCCUUAAGAAAAAUCUCGUCCUCGAGAUUUGUUAAGAGUUGUUUUCGAAAAUAUCAUUCCUGUUAGUUGAAACCAAAAGGUUUACUCAUAGUACAAACCUUGUGUCGUCAAGGUUGGUUUUUGGCAGCUACGUCCGAGGUUAAAAAUGCAAUCUCACAUCGACAUACUCAUGCAUGGCUACUAUUUAAAAUAGGGCGCACAAGCAACAGUAUUUAAUUACGGCGAUACAGGGUCACACAGUUACAAGGCGAGGACAUGCUAAGACUUGGUACUACUCGAGCGACUCUAGUCUACCUCGUUAAUAUCUAAGCGGGCGUGCCUUGCGGACGUCGAGGCUUCACCACGGUUUUCACCGUCGGGAUUAGCUGGAGGGGGUUGAGGGGCUACAGGGUCGGGGUAGCGAUGAUGACCAUUCCGGGGAUUGUUGGCCACAAUCCCGUUGGAAUGUGUUCCCAAAAGGCGACGAAGCACUUCUGGGGCCAUCAAGGUAUUAUGGUCGAUGGCUGGGGCAGACCUCAAGGACUCGAUCGGUUGUCCGAACAGCACGACUGGGCUAUCGGUGCCGGACUCCUCUUCUCCUCUUGCUGGGGCUCGGCGGGUCAGUUCUCCACGAGCUGCGAUCAGAUCAAGGGUGAUUUGAUCGAACAGUCCCUCUAGUACACAUAGCCUACCAGAUGCAAUAAUGCAGGAUCCAUCUCGUGGUCUCUGUUGGCAACUUGGGGUGGUCUACCAUAUCCGACACGGCUGGGGUAGUAGUAGAACGAGCGGCAGUUGACUCUGGGCGACAAGUGCCGGAGUUGAACUAUAGCCUCUCGAGCAGCUAGUUGGAUGGCUUGUGGCUCAAAGGAAGUUGUCCUUCCGGUGAACCUGUAGGGGCGUUCUGGCGAUAGACCCCUACCGUAGACGUGCAUAGUGGCCCAGAAUUGACGGCUCUCACCGCUCAUGGGUCCUUGGUACACAACAUAUUCUGGGGGCUCUUCUAACGCGAAGGCACGGCGGGUGAGGUUUGCUAGCACGGUCACAAAACCUCCAAGGUUGGUUGCCGUGGUCUCAUUGUGAACAAUGGGUCCUGGCAUUUUAGCUUGGUUUGGGCAGAGGUUGUGCUGUGCUAGGUUGGGGCUAGCGUGCCCUUUUUAUAAAAAAAAGAACGGAGUCUUCCUUCGCACGCUUGCGAAUGAGAUAAUUUUGGUGUCGGUCACUGGCGCGUGAUCGACAGGCUAGGCUGAUAGGUUGGGCACCGACUGCCAAAAAGGUGUCGAUCACUGUGUGGCUAUCUUACACGAGAAGCUUGGCCGGAGUUAGGUUAAGGCCUGGUGGGUUGGUUUACCUAGGUUUUUUUUUACCUGUCUAAGAUAGGAUUAGCCAAUGGUCAGCCUGGCUCUGAUACCAAGUUUGUCAGGACCGGAUUUUCGGGAUAUUAGUUUCCAGAAAAUGGCCCUUGUGCUCACCAGCCCCAGGAUUACUGUUAGCUGAUGAGGCAACAACUUGAUAUAGAAAUUCCAAGCAAAAUACAUAAUAUGUAGUACAAGACCUUUCUGGCCUAUGAGUACAACAAAUGGUUUCUAGUGGUUGAUGGCGGAAGCGGUUUGUGGAUCAUCAGCGUCUAUGGGACUCCAAUUCCCACAGGAAUAGCUGACCUGGUUAACUCCUAUCUUCGUGAGGCUGCUAUCACCGUUGCUUAGGUUCCGGGGCUGUCAUCGCAACGCUCCUCUCCAAGCAAGAAAUCUGGCCAAGACAAUAGCCAGGGACAAGCCAGUGAGUACUUUUGAAUGUACUCGCAAACAUUAUGAACAUGGGUAUGAUAUAACAACCAAUAAUCAUACUCUAAAAUAUUCUAUGCUCACAACGUCCGUCAUAAAAAUAAUAUCCAUGAUACAUGCAAGCAGGUUAUUUACGUAAAACAUGAAUAUGCAAUCAGAGAGUAAAAAUAAAAUGCACCGAGCGGGUGUCUGAAGCGACGCCUUGAAAGUAUAAUAAUAUAAGGCAUGCCUCAGUCGGGCGUCUGCGCGACACCACAUACAUGGCUUAUAAAGUAAAUAAAUAAUGAGCAUGCCACAGUCGGGCGUCUGAGCGACACCACAUAAAGGGCUUAUAAGGUAAACAGUAAGAAUGCCACAGUCGGGCGUCUGAGCGACACCACAUAAAGGGCUUAUAAGGUAAACAAUAAGAAUGCCACAGUCGGGCGUCUGAGCGACACCACAUAAAGGGCUUAUAAGGUAAACAAUAAGAAUGCCACAGUCGGGCGUCUGAGCGACACCACAUAAAGGGCUUAUAAGAAAACAAUCACAGUGAAUAUCCAGGAGGUAGAACCAUCCCAGGGAUACUCAAUAAUCCCAGUAAUAUGGUGGGUUAGUCCAUAAUAAUAAUAAUCACAAUCAUCAUAAUCAACACAAGUCACAGGUCAUGAUCCAUGUUCUGGUUUAGCAGUUUCUCCUCCGAAGACCGACACUAAGACCGACACUUGACCCAACCCAUACUGUAGUCCUUAACCAUGGACACGGCUAUUCGAAUAGAUUUAACCUCUGCAGAGGGUGUACUCUUUACCCACGAGUAACGGAUUCCUUAAGUCCAUCGGGACUAAUUUCGUCUACGGUCUUUUAAUUGAAAACACACCUGACUUGCACGCAACAGCUUAACUUACCGGUGUCUGGAAUCACCCACGAAACCUGUCAAGCAAAAACUCUAAAUGUGGAGGCUACAACCUCACAUAGCAUGGGAUCAAAUUUAUAUCACGCGCUCUAAGGGGUGCCCCCCCCUCUCGGUCCCAGCCGGAAACACCCAUGCCCCCGGACCAGGUGGCCUGCCUACCGGCUACACUCGGUAUCUUCGACCAUGGCCUCUCUGUACGGUGUGUGCUAGAAAGGGGUUGACAACUUACUAAACCAUACCCUACCUACUGUAGGGACAAGUGGUAGUACGAAACAAGUAUGGGGGUUACUGGAACAAGACUCGAUCUAUGGCCGACUCAGGAGGUUUAAGUAUUCCCUGCAUGAUUAGCUUAACGAAUAUAUUUCAUCCAACAGACAGGAUCACCACUCAUCAUACCCCAUCAUGCCGUACCGGACACACUCGUCUCGAAGAGGAACUACGGACAAGCUCGGGUCUACCCAAGACAGAGACUUUCCCGUUUUCCUUUCGGUAGGCGCGAAGGGCAUACGAGGAUGAUCACUAUCACAAGCAUGUCCAUUUCCAACAGCAAGGAAAUCCCCAAUAUGCAUUCAUGCAAAUGAUCGCGUCACCACAUAAAAUAAUGAGUUCUCCGUAUUAAGGUGGUGUUAUAAUCAUGUCAACCAACACACAAAAAUAUUAUGCCAGGGUUCAGAAUGCUUACCUUCAAGGGUAUGCAAGUGGGGUGUGCCUUUUGAAAGUUGACUUCUUCUUCCAAAACCUAUUUUCGAAAAUAUUCAAAUUAGCACAUACUUUAAAAACAGUACAAAAAAGUUGCUUGGAAAAUUUUCAAAUAAAUAUGAAAAUAAACUAGACAAUAUUUGGGAAACAACAGAAAAAGAAUCAAGUCAUUUGGAUUUAUAUCUAAAAAGUUAUAGCCUGUCAAACUUUAGUCAACUUUCUGUUUUUAAAAUAAAACUGAAAAAAAAAGAAAAACGUUUCGAAAAGGGUACACAUCGAAGUCGUACUUUGGGAAUACGCCUCCACUUAAAACACGUGGUGGCGGGGCUGGGUCACUGACACUGGGUCCAGCGGCCCCACUGGUCAGGUUUGACUAGUCCCCCGCCUUCUCCCUCCUCUCUCCGAGCCGAGGCGGGGGCUCCGACGAUCGACGCCGGCGAACGGCGGCUCCUCGCGGGGCUCUGAGGGCGGGGAUGGAUCCGCCACUCCCGGGCGGUCCUCCCGGUGGUCGAGAGGGUGGCGGGAAUGAAGGGAGUCGCCGGCGGCGAGCCUUGCGGCGGACGGCAGCUUCGGGAGGUUUGGGGGUUUGGGUUAUGGUGCUUCCCGAUUGACGCUGAGAGGGUGGGUGGCUCUGCACGGUUGGGGGGAGAAGGAUGGAAGCACGGGAGGGGUUUGGGGGCCUCGGUCUUGGCCGGAUUUCACCGGAGUGUGGCGGCGGCCGAACCUGUCAGGGAUGAGGAAGAUGGCCGUCAUUCGCCGAUUGCUGGCUACGGGAGGGCUCUAGGGGGGUGGCUCGAGGCUGCCUGAGUGCUGGGACGAGCUCGGGGUCCCCUUUUAUAGUGCAACGAGGUUGGUUCCGCGGCGGCAGUGGAUCGGGACACCGGCGAACCGCCGUUCUGUAGCUAGGGGCGACGUGGAGGUGGUUGGAGCUGGUCGGCGCACUCCGACGAACUCCACACUGCUCAAGGGGCGAGCUGGCGCGCGUGUGUGGCUCGGGCGGCGCUAUCCAGGGCAUAGGUUGUCGGGGCGGCGGUGGCGGCCUGCGGUGGUGAUGUUGUGGUGCGCCAGGAGGGGGGGCCAGGGUGGCUCUGCGGCGAGGGAGGGGUCGGGACGCUGGCUGCGAGUGGAAGGGGCCAGAACGGGUGCGGGGGAGGCGGCAGCGGGACGCGGCGGCUCGGGCGCACGCACGUGCAAAACGCGCGCUCUGGCCGCGCCCAGAGCACGCACGCGACGUGCUCGACAAAAUGCCAGGGUGACCUAGAGUGCUUGAGCGAGGCUGGCAAAUAACCGGACUAGGUUAGAGUCUGCAAGAAAGUUAGUGGACAAACUGGUUUGUCCAGAGGUGCAAGGUCACAGUGCAAAGGCAAAAAUCAUGUCAAAACUGCCCAUGCACUUAAGGUGUUUGACAAAAUGCCAAUGGCAUCUAGGCAACUCUUGGGUGGCCAAAUAUUCCAGAUCAAAGUCUCUUUAGAUGUAGGAGAGGAUGGCAAGGUUAGUUGGCCAAAUCUAGAAACUUGUUAGUGUAAGUUUUGCAAAAGUCUAGUUCUGGACAGAAGGAAAAGGGUAUAAUAUCAUGUACCAAAAAUGCUCCAAUGAGUCCAACCUCCUGGACUUAAGGGUUUGGUAGGGUGGUCUAGAAUUAGGAGAAAGAAUCAAGGGAAAAAGAGCAAGCAAAAAUAUGGUUGCAAUACAAAUCACCAAGUUGAACCAGAAUGCAAAUGAGGAUGAUUCACUCAAUUUUCUCAAAGAGCAUCAAUGGGUUUUUGCAUAAAGAUGAAUAAUAUACUCCUAUUAACACCCCAUAAUUUUGGUGGAAGUUUUAAAGAAAUAUUUAAUUAGGUUGUAGUGCAAAAUUACCCACUGGACCAGAUUUGAAAAUUUGAUGUAGACCUCAAAAUAUCCAAAGAAUGAAAUAUAUUUUUGCAUAAAAGUGAUUUAAAAACAUCACAUGACAUCCCCAAAUUUUGGUGGGAUUUUUAAAUGAAUUUAUAAAAGGGUUGCAGUUCAAAUGGGACCCUAAAAUUUAUGAAAAACCCUUUUGGAGGAAUAAAGCUCAGGAAAAAUAAUUAUAUAAAUAAUCCUACUGAUAAAAGAAUUGUUUUAUUUGAGAGGGUAACUAAGUCUAAUAAUGUUUGAAACUUUUUCACUUGGGGUAAAAACCUCAUAAAAAUAAAGAAAAGAAUGGUUCUGAAAUCAACAGGAAAUCUAGAAAAUAAAAGUUUAAGUUUCCUGGCAAAAUUUUAAUAAAUAAAACAUGGUUAAAUUUUUGGGGUGUCACAACACUACCCCCCUUAAGAAAAAUCUCGUCCUCGAGAUUUGUUAAGAGUUGUUUUCGAAAAUAUCAUUCCUGUUAGUUGAAACCAAAAGGUUUACUCAUAGUACAAACCUUGUGUCGUCAAGGUUGGUUUUUGGCAGCUACGUCCGAGGUUAAAAAUGCAAUCGCACAUCGACAUACUCAUGCAUGGCUACUAUUUAAAAUAGGGCGCACAAGCAACAGUAUUUAAUUACGGCGAUACAGGGUCACACAGUUACAAGGCGAGGACAUGCUAAGACUUGGUACUACUCGAGCAACUCUAGUCUACCUCGUUAAUAUCUAAGCGGGCGUGCCUUGCGGACUUCGAGGCUUCGCCACGGUUUUCACCAUCGGGAUUAGCUGGAGGGGGUUGAGGGGCUGCAGGGUCGGGGUAGCGAUGAUGACCAUUCCGGGGAUUGUUGGCCACAAUCCCGUUGGAAUGUGUUCCCAAAAGGCGACGAAGCACUUCUGGGGCCAUCGAGGUAUUAUGGUCGAUGGCUGGGGCAGACCUCAAGGACUCGAUCGGUUGUCCGAACAGCACGACUGGGCUGUCGGUGUCGGGCUCCUCUUCUCCUCUUGCUGGGGCUCGGCGGGUCAGUUCUCCACGAGCUGCGAUCAGAUCAGGGGUGAUUUGAUCGAACAAUCCCUCUAGUACACAUAGCGUACCAGAUGCAAUAAUGCAGGAUCCGUCUCGUGGUCUCCGUUGGCAACUUGGGGUGGUCUACCAUAUCCGUCACGGCUGGGGUAGUAGUAGAACGAGCGGUAGUUGACUCUGGGCGACAAGUGUCGGAGUUGAACUAUAGCCUCUCGAGCAGCUAGUUGGAUGGCUUGUGGCUCAAAGGAAGUUGUCCUUCCGGUGAACCUGUAGGGGCGUUCUGGCGAUAGACCCCUACCGUAGACGUGCACAGUGGCCCAGAAUUGACGGCUCUCACAGCUCAUGGGUCCUUGGUACACAACAUAUUCUGGGGGCUCUUCUAUCGCGAAGGCACGGCGGGUGAGGUUUGCUAGCACGGUCACAAAACCUCCAAGGUUGGUUGCCGUGGUCUCAUUGUGAACAAUGGGUCCUGGCAUUUUAGCUUGGUUUGGGCAGAGGUUGUGCUGUGCUGGGUUUGGGCUAGCAUGCCCUUUAUUAAAAAAAAGGACGGAGUCUUCCUUCGCACGCUUGCGAAUGACAUAAUUUUGGUGUCGGUCACUGGCGCGUGAUCGACAGGCUAGGCUGAUAGGUUGGGCACUGACUGCCAAAAAGGUGACGGUCACUGUGUGGCUAUCUUACACGAGAAACUUGGCCGGGGUUAGGUUAAGGCCUGGUGGGUUGGUUUACCUAGGUUUUUUUUGACCUGUCUAAGAUAGGAUUAGCCAAUGGCCAGCCUGGCUCUGAUACCAAGUUUGUAAGGACCGGAUUUUUGGGAUAUUAGUUUCCAGAAAAUGGCCCUUAUGCUCACCAGCCCCAGGAUUACUGUUAGCUGAUGAGGCAACUACUUGAUACAGAAAUUCCAAGCAAAAUACAUAAUAAGUAGUACAAGACCAUUCUGGCCUAUGAGUACAACAAAUGGUUUCUAGUGGUUGACGGCGGAAGCGGUUUGUGGAUCAUCAGUGUCUAUGGGACUCCAAUUCCCACAGGAACAGCAGACCAGGUUAACUUAUCUUCGUGAGGCUGCUAUCACCGUUGCUUAGGUUCCCGGGCUGUCAUCACAACGCUCCUCUCCAAGCAAGAAAUCUGGCCAAGACAAUAGCCAGGGACAAGCCAGUGAGUACUUUUGAAUGUACUCGCAAACAUUAUGAACACGGGUAUGAUAUAACAACCAAUAAUCAUACUCUAAAAUAUUCUAUGCUCACAACGUCCGUCAUAAAAAUAAUAUCCCUGAUACAUGCAAGUAGGUUAUUUAUGUAAAACAUGAAUAUGCAAUCAGAGAGUAAAAAUAAAAUGCACCGAGCGGGUGUCUGAAGCGACGCCUCGAAAGGAUAAUAAUAUAAGGCAUGCCUCAGUCGGGCGUCUGCGCGACACCACAUACAGGGCUUAUGAAGUAAAUAAAUAAUGAGCAUGCCACAGUCGGGCGUCUGAGCGACACCACAUAAAGGGCUUAUAAGGUAAACAAUAAGAAUGCCACAGUCGGGCGUCUGAGCGACACCACAUAAAGGGCUUAUAAGGUAAACAAUAAGAAUGCCACAGUCGGGCGUUUGAGCGACACCACAUAAAGGGCUUAUAAGAAAACAAUCACAGUGAAUAUCCAAGAGGUAGACCCGUCCUAGGGAUACUCAAUAAUCCCAGUAAUAUGGUGGGUUAGUCCAUAAUAAUAAUAAUCACAAUCAUCAUAAUCAACACAAGUCACAGGUCAUGAUCCAUGUUCUGGUUUAGCAGUUUCUCCUCCGAAGACCGACACUAAGACCGACACUUGACCCAACCCAUACUGUAGUCCUUAACCAUGGACAUGGCUAUUCGAAUAGAUUUAACCUCUGCAGAGGGUGUACUCUUUACCCACGAGUAACGGAUUCCUUUAGUCCAUCGGGACUAAUACCGUCUACGGUCUUUUAAUUGAAAACACACCUGACUUGCACACACCAGCUUAACUUACCGUUGUCUCGAAUCACCCACGACAUCUGUCAAGCAAAAACUCUAAGUGUGGAGGCUACAACCUCGCAUAGCAUGGGAUCAAAUUUAUAUCGCGCGCUCUAAGGGGUGCCCCCCUCUCGGUCCCAACCGGAAACACCCAUGCCGCCGGACCAAGUGGCCUGCCUACCGGCUGUAGUCGGUAUCUUCCACCAUGGCCUCUCUGUACGGUGUGUGCUAGAAAGGGGUUGACAACUUACUGAACCGUACCCUACCUGCUGUAGGGACAAGUGGUAGUAUGAAACAAGUAUGGGGGUUACUGGAACAAGACUCGAUCUAUGGCCGACUCAGGAGGUUUAAGUAUUCCCUGCAUGAUUAGCUUAACGAAUAUAUUUCAUCCAACAGACAGGAUCACCACUCAUCAUACCCCAUCAUGCCAUACCGGACACACUCGUAUCGACGAGGAACUAGGGAUAAGCUCGGGUCUACCCAAGACAGAGACUUUCCCGUUUUCCUUCCGGUAGGCGCGAAUGGCAUACGAGGAUGAUCACUAUCACAAGCAUGUCCAUUUCCAACAGCAAGGAAAUCCCCAAUAUACAUUCAUGCAAAUGAUCGCGUCACCACAUAAAAUAACGAGUUCUCCGUAUUAAGGUGGUGUUAUAAUCAUGUCAACCAACACACAAAAAUAUUAUGCCGGGGUUCAGAAUGCUUACCUUCAAGGGUAUGCAAGUGGGGUGUGCCUUUUGAAAGUUGACUUCUUCUUCAAAUACCUAUUUUCAAAAAUAUUCAAAUUAACACAUACUUUAAAAACAGUACAAAAAAGUUACUUGGAAAAUUUUCAAAUAAAUAUGAAAAUAAACUAGACAAUAUUUGGGAAACAGCAUAAAAAGAAUCAAGUUAUUUGGAUUUAUAUCUAAAAAUUAUAGCCUGUCAAAGUUUAGUCAACUUUCUUUUUUUAAAAUAAAACUGAAAAAAAAGAAAAACGUUUCGAAAAGGGUACACGUCGAAGACGUACUUUGGGAAUACGCCUCCACUUAAAACACGUGGUGGUGGAGCUGGGUCACUGACACUGGGUCCAGCGGCCCCACUAGUCAGGUUUGACUAGUCCCCCGCCUUCUUCCUCCUCUGUCCGAGCCGAGGCGGGGGCUCCGGCUAUCGACGCCGGCGAACGGCGGCUCCUCGCGGGGCUCUAAGGGCGGGGAUGGAUCCGCCACUCCCGUGCGGUCCUCCCGGUGGUCGAGAGGGUGGCGGGGACGAAGGGAGUCGCCGGCGGCGAGCCUUGCGGCGGACGGCAGCUUCGGGAGGUUUGGGGGUUUGGGUUAUGGUGCUUCUCGAUCGACGCUGAGAGGGUGGGUGGCUCUGCACGGUUGGGGGGAGAAGGAUGGAAGCACAGGAGGGGUUUGGGGGCCUCGGUCUUGGCCGAAUUUCACCGGAGUGUGGCGGCGGCCGAACCUGUCGGGGACGAGGAAGAUGGCCGUCAUUCUCCGAUUGCUGGCUACGGGGGGGGGGCUCUAGGGGGGUGGCUCGAGGCUGCCUGAGUGCUGGGACGAGCUCGGGGUCCCCUUUUAUAGUGCAACGAGGUCGGUUCCGCGGCGGCAGUGGAUAGGGACGCAGCGAACCGCCAUUCUGUAGCUAGGGGCGACGUGGAGGUGGUUGGAGCUGGUCGGCGCACUCCGAUGAACUCCACACUGCUCAAGGGGCAAGCUGGCGCGCGUGUGUGGCUCGGGCGCCGCCGUCCAGGGCAGAGGUUGUCGGGGCGGCGCUGGCGGCAUGCGGUUGUGAUGCUGUGGUGCGCCAGGAGGGGGGCAGGGUGGCGCUGCGGCGAGGGAGGCGGGACGCUGGCUGCGAGUGGAAGGGGCCAGAACGGGUGCGGGGGAGGCGGCAGCGGGACGCGGUGGCUCGGGCGCAUGCACGUGCAAAACGCGCGCUCUAGCCGCGCCCAGAGCACGCACGCGACAUGCUCAACAAAAUGCCAGGGUGACCUAGAGUGCUUGAGCGAGGCUGGCAAAUAACCGGACUAGGUUAGAGUCUGCAAGAAAGUUAGUGGACAAACUGGUUUGUCCAGAGGUGCAAGGUCACAGUGCAAAGGCAAAAAUCAUGUCAAAACUGCCCAUGCACUCAAGGUGUUUGACAAAAUGCCAAUGGCAUCUAGGCAACUCUUGGGGUGGCCAAAUAUUCCAGAUCAAAGUCUAUUUAGAUGUAGGAGAGGAUGGCAAGGUUAGUUGGCCAAAUCUAGAACCUUGUUAGUGUAAGUUUUGCAAAACUCCAGUUCUGGACAGAAGGAAAAGGGUAUAAUAUCAUGUACCAAAAAUGCUCCAAUGAGUCCAACCUCCUGGACUUAAGGGUUUGGUAGGGUGGUCUAGAAUCAGGAGAAAGAAUCAAGGGAAAAAGAGCAAGCAAAAAUAUGGUUUCAAUAAAAAUCACCAAGUUGAACCAGAAUGCAAAUGAGGAUGAUUCACUCAAUUUUUUCAAAGAGCAUCAAUGGGUUUUUGCAUAAAGAUGAAUAAUAUACUCCUAUUAACACCCCAUAAUUUUGGUGGAAGUUUUAAAGAAAUAUUUAAUUAGGUUGUAGUGCAAAAUUGCCCACUUGACCAGAUUUGAAAAUUUGAUGUAGAGCUCAAAAUAUCCAAAGAAUGAUAUAUAUUUUUGCAUAAAAGUGAUUUAAAAACAUCACAUGACAUCCCCAAAUUUUGGUGGGAUUUUUAAAUGAAUUUAUAAAAGGGUUGCAGUUCAAAUGGAACCCUAAAACUUAUGAAAACCCCUUUUAGAGGAAUAAAGCUCAGGAAAAAUAAUUAUAUAAAUAAUCCUACUGAUAAAAGAAUUGUUUUAUUUGAGAGGGUAAAUAAGUCCAAUAAUGUUUGAAUUUUUUUCACUUGGGGUAAAAACCUCAUAAAAAUAAAGAAAAGAAUGGUUCUGAAAUCAAUAGGAAAUCCUGAAAAUAAAAGUUUAAGUUUCCUGGCAAAAUUUUAAUAAAUAAAACAUGGUUAAAUUUUUGGGGUGUCACAACACUACCCCCCUUAAGAAAAAUCUCGUCCUCAAGAUUUGUUAAGAGUUGUUUUCGAAAAUAUCAUUCCUGUUAGUUGAAACCAAAAGGUUUACUCAUAGUACAAACCUUGUGUCGUCAAGGUUGGUUUUUGGCAGCUACGUCCGUGGUUAAAAAUGCAAUCGCACAUCGACAUACUCAUGCAUGGCUACUAUUUAAAAUAGGGCGCACAAGCAACAGUAUUUAAUUACGGCGAUACAGGUUCACACAGUUACAAGGCGAGGACAUGCUAAGACUUGGUACUACUCGAGCAACUCUAGUCUACCUCGUUAAUAUCUAAGCGGGCGUGCCUUGCGGACUUCGAGGCUUCGCCACGGUUUUCACCAUCGGGAUUAGCUGGAGGGGGUUGAGGGGCUGCAGGGUCGGGGUAGCGAUGAUGACCAUUCCGGGGAUUGUUGGCCACAAUCCCGUUGGAAUGUGUUCCCAAAAGGCGACGAAGCACUUCUGGGGCCAUCGAGGUAUUAUGGUCGAUGGCUGGGGCAGACCUCAAGGACUCGAUCGGUUGUCCGAACAGCACGACUGGGCUGUCGGUGCCGGGCUCCUCUUUUCCUCUUGCUGGGGCUCGGCGGGUCAGUUCUCCACGAGCUGCGAUCAGAUCAAGGGUGAUUUGAUCGAACAGUCCCUCUAAUACACAUACCGUACCAGAUGCAAUAAUGCAGGAUCCAUCUCGUGGUCUCCGUUGGCAACUUGGGGUGGUCUACCAUAUCCGUCACGGCUGGGGUAGUAGUAGAACGAGCGGCAAUUGACUCUGGGCGACAAGUGCCGGAGUUGAACUAUAGCCUCUCGAGCAGCUAGUUGGAUGGCUUGUGGCUCAAAGGAAGUUGUCCUUCCGGUGAACCUGUAGGGGCAUUCUGGUGAUAGACCCCUACCGUAGACGUGCACAGUGGCCCAGAAUUGAUGGCUCUCACCGCUCAUGGGUCCUUGGUACACAACAUAUUCUGGGGGCUCUUCUAACGCGAAGGCACGGCGGGUGAGGUUUGCUAGCACGGUCACAAAACCUCCAAGGUUGGUUGCCGUGGUCUCAUUGUGAACAAUUGGUCCUGGCAUUUUAGCUUGGUUUGGGCAGAGGUUGUGAUGUGCUGGGUUGGGGCUAGCGUGCCCUUUUUAUAAAAAAAAGGACGGAGUCUUCCUUCGCACGCUUGCGAAUGAGAUAAUUUUGGUGUCGGUCACUGGCGCGUGAUCGACAGGCUAGGCUGAUAGGUUGGGCACCGACUGCCAAAAAGGUGUUGGUCACUGUGUGGCUAUCUUACACGAGAAGCUUGGCCGGGGUUAGGUUAAGGCCUGGUGGGUUGGUUUACCUAGGUUUUUUUUUGACCUGUCUAAGAUAGGAUUAGCCAAUGGUCAGUCUGGCUUUGAUACCAAGUUUGUCAGGACCGGAUUUUCGGGAUAUUAGUUUCCAGAAAAUUGCCCUUGUGCUCACCAGCCCCAGGAUUACUGUUAGCUGAUGAGGCAACAACUUGAUACAGAAAUUCCAAGCAAAAUACACAAUAUGUAGUACAAGACCUUUCUGGCCUAUGAGUACAACAAAUGGUUUCUAGUGGUUGAUGGCGGAAGCGGUUUGUGGAUCAUCAGCGCCUAUGGGACUCCAAUUCCCACAGGAACAGCUGACCUGAUUAACUCCUAUCUUCGUGAGGCUGCUAUCACCGUUGCUUAGGUUCCGGGGCUGUCAUCGCAACGCUCCUCACCAAGCAAGAAAUCUGGCCAAGACAAUAGCCAGGGACAAGCCAGUGAGUACUUUUGAAUGUACUCGCAAACAUUAUGAACACGGGUAUGAUAUAACAACCAGUAAUCAUACUCUAAAAUAUUCUAUGCUCACAACGUCCGUCAUAAAAAUAAUAUCCCUGAUACAUGCAAGCAGGUUAUUUAUGUAAAACAUGAAUAUUCAAUCAGAGAGUAAAAAUAAAAUGCACCGAGCGGGUGUCUGAAGCGACGCCUCGAAAGGAUAAUAAUAUAGGGCAUGCCUCAGCCGGGCGUCUGCGCGACACCACAUACAUGGCUUAUAAAGUAAAUAAAUAAUGAGCAUGCCACAGUCGGGCGUCUGAGCGACACCACAUAAAGGGCUUAUAAGGUAAACAAUAAGAAUGCCACAGUCGGGCGUCUGAGCGACACCACAUAAAGGGCUUAUAAGGUAAACAAUAAGAAUGCCGCAGUCGGGCGUCUGAGCGACACCACAUAAAGGUCUUAUAAGGUAAACAAUAAGAAUGCCACAGUCGGGCGUCUGAGCGACACCACAUAAAGGGCUUAUAAUAAAACAAUCACAGUGAAUAUCCAGGAGGUAGAACCGUCCCAGGGAUACUCAAUAAUCCCAGUAAUAUGGUGGGUUAGUCCAUAAUAAUAAUAAUCACAAUCAUCAUAAUCAACACAAGUCACAGGUCAUGAUCCAUGUUCUGGUUUAGCAGUUUCUCCUCAGAAGACCGACACUUGACCCAACCCAUACUGUAGUCCUUAACCAUGGACACGUCUAUUCGAAUAGAUUUAACCUCUGCAGAGGGUGUACUCUUUACCCACGAGUAACGGAUUCCUUUAGUCCAUCGGGACUAAUUCCGUCUACGGUCUUUUAAUUGAAAACACACCUGACUUGCACACACCAGCUUAACUUACCGGUGUCUGGAAUCACCCACGACACCUGUCAAGCAAAAACUCUAAGUGUGGAGGCUACAACCUCGCAUAGCAUGGGAUCAAAUUUAUAUCGCGCGCUCUAAGGGGUGCCCCCGCCCCCUCUCGGUCCGAACCGGAAACACCCAUGCCCCCGGACCAGGUGGCCUGCCUACCGGCUGCAGUCGGUAUCUUCCACCAUGACCUCUCUGUACAGGGACUUUCCCGUUUUCCUUUCGGUAGGCGCGAAGGGCAUACGAGGAUGAUCACUAUCACAAGCAUGUCCAUUUCCAACAGCAAGGAAAUCCCCAAUAUGCAUUCAUGCAAAUGAUCGCGUCACCACAUAAAAUAACGAGUUCUCCCUAUUAAGGUGGUGUUAUAAUCAUGUCAACCAACACACAAAAAUAUUACGCCAGGGUUCAGAAUGCUUACCUUCAAGGGUAUGCAAGUGGGGUGUACCUUUUGAAAGUUGUCUUCUUCUUCAAAAACCUAUUUUCGAAAAUAUUCAAAUUAACACAUACUUUAAAAACAGUACAAAAAGUUGCUUGGAAAAUUUUCGAAUAAAUAUGAAAAUAAACUAGACAAUAUUUGGGAAACAACAGAAAAAGAAUCAAGUCAUUUGGAUUUAUAUCUAAAAAGUUAUAGCCUGUCAAACUUUAGUCAACUUUUUGUUUUUAAAAUAAAACUGAAAAAAAAUGUUUCGAAAAGGGUACACGUCAAAGUCGUACUUUGGGAAUACGCCUCCACUUAAAACACGUGGUGGCGGGGCUGGGUCACUAACACUAGGUCCAGCGGCCCCACUGGUCAGGUUUGACUAGUCCCCCGCCUUCUUCCUCCUCUGUCCGAGCCGAGGCGGGGGCUCCGGCGAUCGACGCCGGCGAACGACGGCUCCUCGCGGGGCUCUGAGGGCGGGGAUGGAUCCGCCACUCCCGGGCGGUCCUCCCGAUGGUCGAGAGGGUGGCGGGGACGAAGGGAGUCGCCGGCGGCGAGCCUUGCGGCGGACGGCAGCUUCGGGAGGUUUGGGGGUUUGGGUUAUGGUGCUUCCCGAUCGACGCUGAGAGGGUGGGUGGCUCCGCACGGUUGGGGGAGAAGGAUGGAAGCACGGGAGGGGUUUGGGGGCCUCGGUCUUGGCCGGAUUUCACCGGAGUGUGGCGGCGGCCGAACCUGUCGGGGACGAGGAAGAUGGCCGUCAUUCACCGAUUGCUGGCUACGGGAGGGCUCUAGGGGGGUGGCUCGAGGCUGCCUGAGUGCUGGGACGAGCUCGGGGUCCCCUUUUAUAGUGCAACGAGGUUGGUUCCGCGGCGGCAGUGGAUCGGGACACCGGCGAACCGCCGUUCUGUAGCUAGGGGCGACGUGGAGGUGGUUGGAGCUGGUCGGCGCACUCCGACGAACUCCACACUGCUCAAGGGGCGAGCUGGCGCGCGUGUGUGGCUCGGGCGGCGCUAUCCAGGGCAGAGGUUGUCGGGGCGGCGGUGGCGGCCUGCGGUGGUGAUGUUGUGGUGCGCCAGGAGGGGGGGCCAGGGUGGCUCUGCGGCGAGGGAGGGGUCGGGACGCUGGCUGCGAGUGGAAGGGGCCAGAACGGGUGCGGGGGAGGCGGCAGCGGGACGCGGCGGCUCGGGCGCACGCACGUGCAAAACGCGCGCUCUGGCCGCGCCCAGAGCACGCACGCGACGUGCUCGACAAAAUGCCAGGGUGACCUAGAGUGCUUGAGCGAGGCUGGCAAAUAACCGGACUAGGUUAGAGUCUGCAAGAAAGUUAGUGGACAAACUGGUUUGUCCAGAGGUGCAAGGUCACAGUGCAAAGGCAAAAAUCAUGUCAAAACUGCCCAUGCACUCAAGGUGUUUGACAAAAUGCCAAUGGAAUCUAGGCAACUCUUGGGGUGGCCAAAUAUUCCAGAUCAAAGUCUCUUUAGAUGUAGGAGAGGAUGGCAAGGUUAGUUGGCCAAAUCUAGAAACUUGUUAGUGUAAGUUUUGCAAAAGUCUAGUUCUGGACAGAAGGAAAAGGGUAUAAUAUCAUGUACCAAAAAUUCUCCAAUGAGUCCAACCUCCUGGACUUAAGGGUUUGGUAGGGUGGUCUAGAAUCAGGAGAAAGAAUCAAGGGAAAAAGAGCAAGCAAAAAUAUGGUUGCAAUACAAAUCACCAAGUUGAACCAGAAUGCAAAUGAGGAUGAUUCACUCAAUUUUUUCAAAGAGCAUCAAUGGGUUUUUGCAUAAAGAUGAAUAGUAUACUCCUAUUAACACCCCAUAAUUUUGGCGGAAGUUUUAAAGAAAUAUUUAAUUAGGUUGUAGUGCAAAAUUGCCCACUGGACCAGAUUUGAAAUUUUGAUGUAGAGCUCAAAAUAUCCAAAGAAUGAAAUAUAUUUUUGCAUAAAAGUGAUUUAAAAACAUCACAUGACAUCCCCAAAUUUUGGUGGGAUUUUUAAAUGAAUUUAUAAAAGGGUUGCAGUUCAAAUGGGACCCUAAAACUUAUGAAAAAUCCUUUUAGAGGAAUAAAGCUCAGGAAAAAUAAUUAUAUAAAUAAUCCUACUGAUAAAAGAAUUGUUUUAUUUGAGAGGGUAAAUAAGUACAAUAAUGUUUGAAAAGUUUUCACUUGGGGUAAAAACCUCAUCAAAAUAAAGAAAAGAAUGGUCCUGAAAUCAAUAGGAAAUCCAGAAAAUAAAAGUUUAAGUUUCCUGGCAAAAUUUUAAUAAAUAAAACACGGUUAAAUUUUUGGGGUGUCACAGACAAUCUCUAUGGACUAAUGGUUGCUUUGAGUUAUAUUUGAAAGGUUAUCCAUAGGCAAUGCUUGAAGACCAUAUGUUGGUUUCAAGGUUGAAAGAAGAAUAUUAUUUGUUGACCAAGGUGUUAUUCAUGGAGUUAUCCAAAUAUUGGUCAUGUGAGAGUUGAGUAUAUUGCAAGCAUGUCUUGAAAAUAAGAUUAUUUGAACAUUCAUGUUGCCUUUAAUACAUCAUCUUUAUGAAGAGAGAAGAUAAGAUACAAGGUUGAUCAAGACUAAGUACAAAGAAUGGAUUCAAGUUGAUGAACACACAAAGCAUAGAAGAUGUACCGAGUCGAAUCAAGUGAUCUCACGAUAUGGUAAGCAUUGUCCAUUAUGCUUUGUGUAACCCAUGAUCUAUUUGUGUGGUGUUCCUAUGUGGGGCUAGUUUUUUUCCAUGGGCUUACAUCAAGAGGAAGAUAUCAGAUAACCCAUGGAGGAUGACAUCAUGUGGUGAUCGUCAUCAAUGUUGUGUUGUGCAAGUUCAAGUGGAGCAUCACAAAGAGAUCACAUGCUUGAAGCUUGCCAUCCAUUCUGGUGAUAAUGGAGUUGUGAAGAUGUGCCAAAGAGAGGCCAACCCAUAGUGGAGUAUGGGGGAGCAAUAUAUUGGUCUUCAUCGAGCUAGCGCAAUCAGAAAGGUGGUCCAACAUGAGGAGGACGAGAUCAUCAUCGUCUAGCUCAAGUGGACUAUGCGCAAGGCAAAGGUUUGACCUUAAUAGGUUUUCUGUUUUACCGAUCUGAUGGUGUUAGUUGGGAGACCGGGUUGAAGGAUUGAUUGACGUACUAUCAAGGGGGCUCUCGAGUGAGUAGCUUGAGCGUAUCAUUCAUAGAGAGCUCAAACCAUUGCAUCAUUGGCAUCAUCUUUCUUGGUUCUUGUUUGGCUUUUCCCUAUGUGAGUUUUGGAGCUUGUGGUCAUCUCCGUGGCAAGUUCAAGUUGAUCAAAAAUGGAUUUCAUAUGCAGCAUGUAUUGUGUUUUCGAUGUAGGAGUUUUUGCCAGUUCUUCACUCAUGUAUAUUUCACACCUCUAUUGUGAUUUGACAACUCUUGUAGUUACCUUUCUAUCAAGUUUCAAUUCAUCAAUAUCAAAGUGGUGGUACCGCUUGCUACUGGUGGUAGUACUGCUUAUGCAGUACUUUCGCUGGUUGGUGCCGUGGCUACCUCUGGUUGUGUUUAGUCUUCUGUAUGCCUCUGGCAAUUCGCGGUAGUGCCACUGCUUCCAACGGUAGUACCGCUUGAUGCGGUUCUUCCGCUCUGGCGCCGCUUGAACUACUGCUGGUUUGUCUGUUAGCCUAUUGACAAUUAGCGACAGUAUCGCUUGUUGUAGCCGGUGGGACCGCUCCGGCAGAACUAGGAUGCGAGUACCACUGUGGUACUCGAUGAGCCUUAGUGAAACUGCCGCUCUUAGCAGUAGUACCGCUUGAGCAUGACCAGUGCAUAAUGGUCUUAUUCUUGCCCCCACUAUAAAAGGGGGUCUUCUUCACCAUUGCUCCUAGCAACUUUGAGCAAGCUUUCUCCUCCAUUAUUGACCUCUAAAAGCUUUGCUUUAUCUCUAUCCCUCCCAUGGUUCUUGCAUCAUUUUGAGGGGAAAGAGAUAGGAUAUCUAGAUUCUAUAUCUACAUUUCCACCAAUCCAUCUUACGUCUAAGUGAGGGGAACCCUUUGGAUCUAAAUCUUCGAGUUCUUUUGUGUUCUCCUUGUUCUUCCUCACAUAUUCCACCAUAGCUUUCGUUAAUUUGUGGGAUUUGAGAGAUGUGGGACUUGAGCACUUAGUGUGUUCUUGCCAUUACAUUAGUUGCAUCGGUUUGAGUUCUCCAUGAUGAUACAUGGAAGUGAAAGUCGAGAAGCUUACUAGUACCUUUUGGGUAUUUGGGUGUCCUAGAUGAUUGGUGGUGUCUCAAAGCUCAAUCAUUGUUGUGUAAAGCUUCGAGAAAGCUUUGGGGUCUCUAAUACGUCCAUUUUAUAUCAUGUUUUCCUACUACUAUUUCUAAUGCUUUAUAGCUAUAUUUCACCUUUGAUGCAAUUCCAAUGCCUUUUCUCUCUUAAUUGCCAGUUAUAUCACAAGAGGAAGAUUGCCGACAGCUGGAAUUCUGGACCUGAAAAGUGCUACAACAGAGAUAGCUAUUCUCUUGAGCUCCAAAUGACCUAAAUUUUUCCAAAGAUUUGUUUUGAAAUAUAUAAAAAAUACUAGAAGCAAAAUGCACUGAAGGGGACGCACUAGGGAGCUACAAGCUCGGGGGCGCGCCCACCCCCUGGGGUGCACCUGGUGAGCUUAUGAGUCCCACAGAAGGUCUAUGUGGCCCAUCGUCUCCUAUAUGAAGCCAUUUUCCCUAUAAAAAUAAUCAAGAGAAGACUUUUGGAACGAAGCGCCACCGUCUCGAGGCGGAACCUGGGCAGGAGCAAUUUUGCUCUGUGGCAAAGCGAUUCCACCGGGGAAACUUCCCUCUGGGAGGGGGAAAUCAAAGCCAUCAUCAUCAUCAACGUUCCUUUCAUCAUGGGAGGACUCAUCUCCGUCAACAUCUUCACUAGCACCAUCUCACUUCAAACCCUAGUUCAUCUCUUGUAUUCAAUCUUUGUCUCAAACCUCAGAGUGGUACAUGUGGGUUGCUAGUAGUGUUGAUUACAUCUUGUAGUUGAUUUACUUGGUGGAAGAUCAUAUCUUUAGAUUUUUAAUCAUAUAUUAUUCUCCUCUUAUCAUGAACAUGAAUAUGAUGUGUGAGUAGUUUCUUUUAUUCUUGAGGAAACAGGAGAAGUCUUGUUGUAAGUAAUCAUGUGAAGUUGGUUUUCAUUCAAUAUUUUGAUGAUGUGCUAUGUUGUUCUUCCUCUAGUGGUGUCAUGUGAAUGUCGACUACAUGUCACAUUAUCAUGUUUGAGCCUAGGGGAAGGCAUUGUGGGAUUAGUCAGUAGAUGAUGGGUUGCUAGAGUGAUAGAAGCUUAAAUCCUAGUUUAUGCGCUAUUUCGUAAGGGGCUGAUUUGGAUCCAUAUGUUUCAUGCUAUGGUUGGAUUUAUCUUAAUUCUUCUUUCGUAGUUGUGGAUGCUUGCGAGAGGGGAUAAGCAUAUCUAGAUUAAGGAUAUGGAUGUACUCAUAUAGAAAUUUAAUGGUAUUAAUUUUAUAAUUUGUUUGGACGUGUGUUAGUGGUUCUAAAAAGGAUGUGAAUACACACAUAUAGCAAAAAUAUAUACAUUAGCGGUUCCAAAGAAUUACGUUAAGGUACUCAUAUAUGAAUAUAUGGCUAGCAGUCCAUACCGUAUGAAACUAGUAUGCUUAAAGAUUAUCUAUGUCAACUCUUACUAAACAUUACAAGGUCCAAUUCUAGUCAAACAGCAAUGCUUCUAUAUCAAUUGCUAAUAAAUUUGGAUGUAUGGAUAAGGAUGAACUUUAACUAUCAUCCAUGUAUUCCAAAAAGUAUAAUUGACACCAAUGUUUCUUGUACACGAUUCUACAAAUCUCUCUAGCAAGUGGUCCCAACAUGCCAAUACAAACAUGAAACCUAGACAAUUUUUAGGGUCCUUGGGGUGAUACUUCUAUAUAAGGGGGGCACAUCUCCGCAUAUCUCCCACUAACAUGUCGUUAGCCAAUGGUUUUGGUAAAUCUCUAGCAUUUCGUAGAUUCUUGUUGCUCUUGUUUAUAGUAGUAAGUUUCAUUUUCUUCAUAGGAUUUAGUAUGCCAAGGAGGGAGAGGCGGUCAGGUGUCGCAUACAUCCAUGAUGACAAAGAGCGUGAUGGCUCCUUCUUCAAGAGGCGCAGUGGUUUGUUCAAGAGCGCUGCUAACCUCAAUGCCCUCACCGGUGCUAGGGUUGCUAUCAUCCUAGAGGGGAGCAAUGUUGUUAUGCUCUUUCAGACAAACCAUCCUACAAUGGAUUUCUUGGGAUGGAUGCUUAAUUGGGUAAUGAUGGUACUAAGUAGACAUUCUUCUAUAGGAAAUGGUGAAUGUGUUUAUGCGCAAUAGGAAUCUUCUUCCAGCGAGCAAGAUGUUGAUGCUUGGGUGCAAUCUGAAGGACUUAGUUAGAAGCUAGUUAGACUUACAUUUUAGUUUUAUAUCAGAAUGAAAGCUAGUUACAUUACCACCUGGAAAAUGUUACCAUUUGGACAUUUUACUAAGCCCCUUCCAGGCAAUAAUAUACAUGUUCAGUGUUGUAGGUCUUGGAACAUGGAAGUUUUUUUUCUAUGUGCCGCUUCAUAUUUUCAUUAUAAUCAAAUAUUUUAUUUUCUUUGUGAGAUGUUAUGUAUCUUAUGGGUGAAGGAAGAGGAAACCUUGAUUUAUAAUACCACCCCUCUUAGCAUAUUCUGAUCCAACCAUUAGUAAUUAACAGAAAAUGGGAGCUAUGCGGAGUAAGUAACUAAAAGGUAGCACAAGUUCAUAUUUCCACUCAAGCGACAAGCAUCAAUUGCUUUAAUUGCAUAAGUGUAUGAAAAAUAAGAACAACUCAAUAUGAGAUUCAUUUGAAAUCACGGUAAAUCAAUGUUUUAUUAAUAGAUGCCAAUGCUUUAUUGUCAUUAAAUUAAAACCAUAGUAUACCUGCGAGGACAUGGCGGCCACCUAAUUCUCCAUUUCAGUUUCAGUAGCAGGAAACAACAAAUUUAUGAAAUGAAUCUACUUUUGUUGCCUUCGUUGGUUUUUAUCCUUGAAUAAAAAGUGAUUUUUUUGUAAUGAUAUUGCUCAUCUAAUUAAUAAAUUAGACCAUCGGCCGAUUGCAUUAUGCAAUUGUUCUAAUCUUCUCACCGUUGAAAGAGCAUGGUGCCCCAAUGUUUGGUUUUUGUAAUUGAUGACAAUCUCUAUGGAUUAAUGGUUGCUUUGAGUUAUAUUUGAAAGGUUAUCCAUAGGCAAUGCUUGAAUACCAUAUGUUGGUUUCAAGGUUGAAAGAAGAAUAUUAUUUGUUGACCAAGGUGUUAUUCAUGGAGUUAUCCAAAGAUUGGUCCUGUAAGAGUUGAGUCUAUUGCAAGCAUGUCCUGAAAAAGAAGAUUAUGUGAACAUUCAUGUAGCCUUCAAUACAUCAUCUUUAUGAAGAGAGAGGAUAAGAUACAAGGUUGAUCAAGACUAAGUACAAAGAAUGGAUUCAAGUUGAUGAACACACAAAGCAUAGAAGAUGUACCGAGUCAAAUCAAGUGAUCUCACGGUAUGGUAAGCAUUGUCCAUUAUGCUUUGUGUAACACAUGAUCUAUUUGUGUGGUGUUCCUAUGUGGGGCUACUUUUUUUCCAUGGGCUUACAUCAAGAGGAAGAUAUCAGAUAACCCAUGGAGGAUGACAUCAUGUGGUGAUCGUCAUCAAUGUUAUGUUGAGCAAGUUCAAGUGGAGCAUCACAAAGAGAUCACAUGCUUGAAGCUUGCCAUCCAUUCUAGUGAUAAUGGACUUGUGAAGAUGUGCCAAAGAGAGGCUCACCCAUAGUGGAGUAUGGGGGAGCAAUAUAUUAGUCUUCAUCGAGCUAGCGCAAUCAGAAAGGUGGUCCAACGUGAGGAGGACGAGAUCAUCAUCAUCUAGCUCAAGUGGACUAUGUGCAAGGCAAAGGUUUGACCUUAAUAGGUUUUCUGUUUUACCGAUCUGAUGGUGUUAGUUGGGAGACCGGGUUGAAGGAUUGAUUCACGUACUAUCAAGGGGGCUCUCGAGUGAGUAGCUUGAUCGUAUCAUUCAUAGAGAGCUCAAACCAUUGCAUCAUCGGCAUCAUCUUUCUUGGUUCUUGUUUGGCUUUUCUCUAUGUGAGUUUUGGAGCUUGUGGUCAUCUCCAUGACAAGUUCAAGUUCAUCAAAAAUGGAUUUCAUAUGCAGCAUCUAUUGUGUUUUCGAUGUAGGAGUUUUUGCCAGUUCUUCACUCAUGUAUAUUUCACACCUAUCAAGUUUCAAUUCAUCAAAAUCAAAGUUCAUUUGCCGAAGGUAUGCCUGUUUUGGUCUUAAUUACUUGCAUUCAACUGUUGUGCUUUGGUAUUUUGGUAGAGGGCAAGCGUUCUGCUUGGGCUGAGCCUUCUGUUGCCCCUCAACAUUUCGCGGUAGUACCGCUUGCUACUGGUGGUAGUACUGCUUAUGCAGUACUUCCGCUGGUUGGUGUCGUGGCUACCUCUGGUUGUGUUUAGUCUUCUGUAUGCCUCUGGCAAUUUGCGGUAGUACCGCUGCUUCCAACGGUAGUACCGCUUGAUGUGGUUCUUCCGCUCUAGUGCCGCUUGAACUACUGCUAGUUUGUCUGUUAGCCUAUUGACAAUUAGUGGCAGUACCGCUUGCUGUAGCCGGUGGGACCGCUCCGGCAGAACUAGAAUGCGAGUACCACUAUGGUACUCGAUGAGCCUCAGUGAAACUGCCGCUCUUAGCGGUAGUACCGCUUGAGCAUGACCAGUGCAUAAUGGUUGUAUUCUUGCCCCCACUAUAAAAGGGGGUCUUCUUCACCAUUGCUACUAGCAACUUUGAGCAAGCUUUCUCCUCCAUUAUUGACCUCCAAAAUCUUUGCUUUACCUCUAUCCCUCCCAUGGUUCUUGCAUCAUUUUGAGGGGAAAGAGAGAGGAUAUCUAGAUUCUAUAUCUUCAUUUCCACUAAUCCAUCUUACGUCUAAGUGAGGGCAACCCUUUGGAUCUAAAUCUUCGAGUUCUUUUGUGUUCUCCUUGUUCUUCCUCACAUAUUCCUCCAUAGCUUUCGUUACUUUGUGGGAUUUGAGAGAUGUGGGACUUGAGCACUUAGUGUGUUCUUGCCAUUACAUUAGUUGCAUCGGUUCGAGUUCUCCAUGAUGAUACAUGGAAGUGAAAGUCGAGAAGCUUACUAGUACCUUUUGGGUAUUUGGGUGUCCUAGAUGAUUGGUGGUGUCACAAAGCUCAAUCAUUGUUGUGUAAAGCUUCGGGAAAGCUUUGGGGUCUCUAAUACGUCCAUUUUAUAUCAUGUUUUCCUACUACUAUUUCUAAUGGUUUAGAGCUAUAUUUCACCUUUGAUGCAAUUCCAAUGCCUUUUCUCUCUUAAUUGCCAGUUAUAUCACAAGAGGAAGAUUGCCGACAGCUGGAAUUCUGGACCUGAAAAGUGCUACAACAGAGAUAGCUAUUCUCUUGAGCUCCAAAUGACCUAAAUUUUUCCAAAGAUUUGUUUUGAAAUAUAUAAAAAAUACUAGAAGCAAAAUGCACUGGAGGGGACGCACUAGGGAGCUACAAGCUCGGGGGCGCGCCCACCCCCUGGGGCGCACCUGGUGAGCUUAUGGGUCCCACAGAAGGCCUAUGUGGCCCAUCGUCUCCUAUAUGAAGCCAUUUUCCCUAUAAAAAUAAUCAAGAGAAGACUUAGCGCCACCGUCUCGAGGCGGAACCUGGGCAGGAGCACUUUUGCUCUCUGGCAGAGCGAUUCCACCAGGGAAACUUCCCUCUGGGAGGGGGAAAUCAAAGCCAUCAUCAUCAUCAACAAUGUUCCUUUCAUCAUGGGAGGACUCAUCUCCGUCAACAUCUUCACUAGCACCAUCUCACUUCAAACCCUAGUUCAUCUCUUGUAUUCAAUCUUUGUCUCAAACCUCAGAGUGGUACAUGUGGGUUGCUAGUAGUGUUGAUUACAUCUUGUAGUUGAUUUACUUGGUGGAAGAUCAUAUCUUUAGAUUUUUAAUCAUAUAAUUCUCCUCUUAUCAUGAACAUGAAUAUGAUGUGUGAGUAGUUUCUUUUAUUCUUGAGGAAACAGGAGAAGUCUUGUUAUAAGUAAUCAUGUGAAGUUGGUUUUCAUUCAAUAUUUUGAUGAUGUGCUAUGUUGUUCUUCCUCUAGUGGUGUCAUGUGAAUGUCGACUACAUGUCACAUUAUCAUGUUUGAGCCUAGGGGAAGGCAUUGUGGGAUUAGUCAGUAGAUGAUGGGUUGCUAGAGUGAUAGAAGCUUAAAUCCUAGUUUAUGCGCUAUGUCGUAAGGAGCUGAUUUGGAUCCAUAUGUUUCAUGCUAUGGUUGGAUUUAUCUUAAUUCUUCUUUCGUAGUUGUGGAUGCUUGCGAGAGGGGAUAAGCAUAUCUAGAUUAAGGAUAUGGAUGUACUCAGAUAGAAAUUUAAUGGUAUUAAUUUUAUAAUUUGUUUGGACGUGUGUUAGUGGUUCUAAAAAGGAUGUGAAUACACACAUAUAGCAAAAAUAUAUACAUUAGUGGUUCCAAAGAAUUACGUUAAGGUACUCAUAUAUGAAUAUAUGGCUAGCAGUCAAUACCGUAUGAAACUAGUAUUCUUAAAGAUUAUCUAUGUCAACUCUUACAAAAGAUUACAAGGUCCAAUUCUAGUCAAACAGCAAUGCUUCUAUAUCAAUUGCUAAUAAAUUUGGAUGUAUGGAUAAGGAUGAACUUUAACUAUCGUCCAUGUAUUGCAAAAAGUAUAAUUGACACCAAUGUUUCUUGUACACGAUUCUACAAAUCUCUCUAGCAAGUUGUCCCAACAUGCCGAUACAAACAUGAAACCUAGACAAUUUUUAGGGUCCUUGGGGUGAUACUUCUAUAUAAGGGGGGCACAUCUCCGCAUAUCUCCCACUAACAUGUCGUUAGCCAAUGGUUUUGGUAAAUCUCUAGCAUUUCGUAGAUUCUUGUUGCUCUUGUUUAUAGUAGUAAGUUUCAUUUUCUUCAUAGGAUUUAGUAUGCCAAGGAGGGAGAGGCGGUCAGGUGUCGCAUACAUCCAUGAUGACAAAGAGCGUGAUGGCUCCUUCUUCAAGAGGCGCAGUGGUUUGUUCAAGAGCGCUGCUAACCUCAAUGCCCUCACCGGUGCUAGGGUUGCUAUCAUCCUAGAGGCGAGCAAUGGUGUUAUGCUAUUUCAGACAAACCAUCCUACAAUAGAUUUCUUGGGAUGGAUGCUUAAUUGGGUUAUGAUGGUACUAAGUAGACAUUCUUCUAUAGGAAAUGGUGAAUGUGUUUAUGCGCAAUAGGAAUCUUCUUCCAGCGAGCAAGAUGUUGAUGCUUGGGUGUAAUCUGAAGGACUUAGUUAGAAGCUAGUUAGACUUACAUUUUAGUUUUAUAUUGGAAUGAAAGCUAGUUACAUUACCACCUGGAAAAUGUUACCAUUUGGACAUUUUACUAAGCCCCUUCCAGGCAAUAAUAUACAUGUUCAGUGUUGUAGGUCUUGGAACAUGGAAGUUUUUUUUCUAUGUGCCGCUUCAUAUUUUCAUUAUAAUCAAAUAUUUUAUUUUCAUUUUGAGAUGUUAUGUAUCUUAUGGGUGAAGGAAGAGGAAACCUUGAUUUAUAAUACCACCCCUCUUAGCAUAUUCUGAUCCAACCAUUAGUAAUUAACAGAAAAUGGGAGCUAUGCGGAGUAAGUAACUAAAAGGUAGCACACGUUCAUAUUUCCACUCAAGCGACAAGCAUCAAUUGCUUUAAUUGCAUAAGAGUAUGAAAAAUAAGAACAACUUAAUAUGAGAUUCAUUUGAAAUCACGGUAAAUCAAUGUUUUAUUAAUAGAUGCCAAUGCUUUAUUGUCAUUAAAUUAAAACCAUAGUAUACCUGCGAGGACAUGGCGGCCACCUAAUUCUCCAUUUCAGUUUCAGUAGCAGGAAACAACAAAUUUAUGAAAUGAAUCUACUUUUGUUGCCUUCGUUGGAUUUUAUCCUUGAAUAAAAAGUGAUUUUUUUGUAAUGAUAUUGCUCAUGUAAUUAAUAAAUUAGACCCUUGGCAGAUUGCAUUAUGCAAUUGUUCUAAUCUUCUCACCGUUGAAAGAGCAUGGUGCCCCAAUGUUUGGUUUUUGUAAUUGAUGACAAUCUCUAUGAACUAAUGGUUGCUUUGAGUUAUAUUUGAAAGGUUAUCCAUAGGCAAUGCUUGAAUACCAUAUGUUGGUUUCAAGGUUGAAAGAAGAAUAUUAUUUGUUGACCAAAGUGUUAUUCAUGGAGUUAUCCAAAGAUUGGUCAUGUGAGAGUUGAGUCUAUUGCAAGCAUGUCUUGAAAAAGAAGAUUAUGUGAACAUUCAUGUUGCCUUCAAUACAUCAUCUUUAUGAAGAGAGAAGAUAAGAUACAAGGUUGAUCAAGACUAAGUACUAAGAAUGGAUUCAAGUUGAUGAACACACAAAGCAUAGAAGAUGUACCGAGUCAAAUCAAGUGAUCUCACGGUAUGGUAAGCAUUGUCCAUUAUGCUUUGUGUAACCCAUGAUCUAUUUGUGUGGUGUUCCUAUGUGGGGCUACUUUUUUUCCAUGGGCUUACAUCAAGAGGAAGAUAUCAGAUAACCCAUGGAGGAUGACAUCAUGUGGUGAUCGUCAUCAAUGUUGUGUUGAGCAAGUUCAAGUGGAGCAUCACAAAGAGAUCACAUGCUUGAAGCUUGCCAUCCAUUCUGGUGAUAAUGGACUUGUGAAGAUGUGCCAAAGAGAGGCUCACCCAUAGUGGAGUAUGGGGGAGCAAUAUAUUAGUCUUCAUCGAGCUAGCACAAUCAGAAAGGUGGUCCAACGUGACGAGGGCAAGAUCAUCAUCAUCUAGCUCAAGUGGACUAUGCGCAAGGCAAAGGUUUGACCUUAAUAGGUUUUCUGUUUUACCGAUCUGAUGGUGUUAGUUGGGAGACCGGGUUGAAGGAUUGAUUCACGUACUAUCAAGGGGGCUCUCGAGUGAGUAGCUUGAUCGUAUCAUUCAUAGAGAGCUCAAACCAUUGCAUCAUCGGCAUCAUCUUUCUUGGUUCUUGUUUGGCUUUUCUCUAUGUGAGUUUUGGAGCUUGUGGUCAUCUCCGUGACAAGUUCAAGUUCAUCAAAAAUGGAUUUCAUAUGCAGCAUCUAUUGUGUUUUCGAUGUAGGAGUUUUUGCCAGUUCUUCACUCAUGUAUAUUUCACACCUAUCAAGUUUCAAUUCAUCAAAAUCAAAGUUCAUUUGCCGAAGGUAUGCCUGUUUUGGUCUUAAUUACUUGCAUUCAACUGUUGUGCUUUGGUAUUUUGGUAGAGGGCAAGCGUUCCGCUUGGGCUGAGCCUUCUGUUGCCCCUCAACAUUUCGCGGUAGUACCGCUUGCUACUGGUGGUAGUACUGCUUAUGCAGUACUUCCGCUGGUUGGUGCCGUGGCUACCUCUGGUUGUGUUUAGUCUUCUGUAUGCCUCCGGCAAUUCGCGGUAGUACCGCUGCUUCCAACGGUAGUACCGCUUGAUGCGGUUCUUCCGCUCUGGCGCCGCUUGAACUACUGCUGGUUUGUCUGUUAGCCUAUUGACAAUUCGCGGCAGUACCGCUUGCUGUAGCCGGUGGGACCGCUCCGGCAGAACUAGAAUGCGAGUAACACUAUGGUACUCGAUGAGCCUUAGUGAAACUGCCGCUCUUAGUGGUAGUACUGCUUGAGCAUGACCAGUGCAUACUGGUCUUAUUCUUGCCCCCACUAUAAAAGGGGGUCUUCUUCACCAUUGCUCCUAGCAACUUUGAGCAAGCUUUCUCCUCCAUUAUUGACCUCCAAAAGCUUUGCUUUAUCUCCAUCCCUCCCAUGGUUCUUGCAUCAUUUUGAGGGGAGAGAGAGAGGAUAUCUAGAUUCUAUAUCUACAUUUCCACCAACCCAUCUUACGUAUAAGUGAGGGGAACCCUUUGGAUCUAAAUCUUCGAGUUCUUUUGUGUUCUCCUUGUUCUUCCUCACAUAUUCCUCUAUAGCUUUCGUUACUUUGUGGGAUUUGAGUGAUGUGGGACUUGAGCACUUAGUGUGUUCUUGCCAUUGCAUUAGUUGCAUCGGUUUGAGUUCUCCAUGGUGAUACAUGGAAGUGAAAGUCGAGAAGCUUACUAGUACCUUUUGGGUAUUUGGGUGUCCUAGAUGAUUGGUGGUGUCGCAAAGCUCAAUCAUUGUUGUGUAAAGCUUCGGGAAAGCUUUGGGGUCUCUAAUACGUCCAUUUUAUAUCAUGUUUUCCUACUACUAUUUCUAAUGGUUUAGAGCUAUAUUUCACCUUUGAUGCAAUUCCAAUGCCUUUUCUCUCUUAAUUGCCAGUUAUAUCACAAGAGGAAGAUUGCCGACAGCUGGAAUUCUGGACCUGAAAAGUGCUACAACAGAGAUAGCUAUUCUCUUGAGCUCCAAAUGACCUAAAUUUUUCCAAAGAUUUGUUUUGAAAUAUAUAAAAAAUACUAGAAGCAAAUUGCACUGGAGGGGACGCACUAGGGAGCUACAAGCUCGGUGGCGCGCCCACCCCCUGGGGCGCACCUGGUGAGCUUAUGGGUCCCACAGAAGGCCUAUGUGGCCCAUCGUCUCCUAUAUGAAGCCAUUUUCCCUAUAAAAAUAAUCAAGAGAAGACUUAGCGCCAUCGUCUCGAGGCGGAACCUGGGCAGGAGCACUUUUGCUCUCUGGCAGAGUGAUUCCACCGGGGAAACUUCCCUCUGGGAGGGGCAAAUCAAAGCCAUCAUCAUCAUCAACAACGUUCCUUUCAUCAUGGGAGGACUCAUCUCCGUCAACAUCUUCACUAGAACCAUCUCACUUCAAACCCUAGUUCAUCUCUUGUAUUCAAUCUUUGUCUCAAACCUCAGAGUGGUACAUGUGGGUUGCUAGUAGUGUUGAUUACAUCUUGUAGUUGAUUUACUUGGUGGAAGAUCAUAUCUUUAGAUUUUUAAUCAUAUAUUAUUCUCCUCUUAUCAUGAACAUGAAUAUGAUGUGUGAGUAGUUUCUUUUAUUCUUGAGGAAACGGGAGAAGUCUUGUUAUAAGUAAUCAUGUGAAGUUGGUUUUCAUUAAAUAUUUUGAUAAUGUGCUAUGUUGUUCUUCCUCUAUCGGUGUCAUGUGAAUGUCGACUACAUGUCACAUUAUCAUGUUUGAGCCUAGGGGAAGGCAUUGUGGGAUUAGUCAGUAGAUGAUGGGUUGCUAGAGUGAUAGAAGCUUAAAUCCUAGUUUAUGCGCUAUUUCGUAAGGGGCUGAUUUGGAUCCAUAUGUUUCAUGCUAUGGUUGGAUUUAUCUUAAUUCUUCUUUCGUAGUUGUGGAUGCUUGCGAGAGGGGAUAAGCAUAUCUAGAUUAAGGAUAUGGAUGUACUCAGAUAGAAAUUUAAUGUUAUUAAUUUUAUAAUUUGUUUGGACGUGUGUAGUGGUUCUAAAAAGGAUGUGAAUACACACAUAUAGCAAAAAUAUAUACAUUAGCGGUUCCAAAGAAUUACGUUAAGGUACUCAUAUAUGAAUAUAUGGCUAGCAGUCAAUACCGUAUGAAACUAGUAUGCUUAAAGAUUAUCUAUGUCAACUCUUACUAAAGAUUACAAGGUCCAAUUCUAGUCAAACAGCAAUGCUUCUAUAUCAAUUGCUAAUAAAUUUGGAUGUAUGGAUAAGGAUGAACUUUAACUAUCAUCCAUGUAUUCCAAAAAGUAUAAUUGACACCAUUGUUUCUUGUACACGAUUCUACAAAUCUCUCUAGCAAGUGGUCCCAACAUGCCGAUACAAACAUGAAACCUAGACAAUUUUUAGGGUCCGUGGGGUGAUACUUCUAUAUAAGGGGGGCACAUCUCCGCAUAUCUCCCACUAACAUGUCGUUAGCCAAUGGUUUUGGUAAAUCUCUAGCAUUUCGUAGAUUCUUGUUGCUCUUGUUUAUAGUAGUAAGUUUCAUUUUCUUCAUAGGAUUUAGUAUGCCAAGGAGGAAGAGGCGGUCAGGUGUCGCAUACAUCCAUGAUGACAAAGAGCGUGAUGGCUCCUUCUUCAAGAGGCGCAGUGGUUUGUUCAAGAGCGCUGCUAACCUCAAUGCCCUCACCGGUGCUAGGGUUGCUAUCAUCCUAGAGGCGAGCAAUGGUGUUAUGCUCUUUCAGACAAACCAUCCUACAAUGGAUUUCUUGGGAUGGAUGCUUAAUUGGGUUAUGAUGGUACUAAGUAGACAUUCUUCUAUAGGAAAUGGUGAAUGUGUUUAUGCGCAAUAGGAAUCUUCUUCCAGCGAGCAAGAUGUUGAUGCUUGGGUGCAAUCUGAAGGACUUAGUUAGAAGCUAGUUAGACUUACAUUUUAGUUUUAUAUCGGAAUGAAAGCUAGUUACAUUACCACCUGGAAAAUGUUACCAUUUGGACAUUUUACUAAGCCCCUUCCAGGCAAUAAUAUACAUGUUCAGUGUUGUAGGUCUUGGAACAUAGAAGUUUUUUUUCUAUGUGCCGCUUCAUAUUUUCAUUAUAAUCAAAUAUUUUAU
rnacentral:lncRNA from 1 species